CUAGUGCUGUGGCUUCACAGAAGAGAUGGGUUUAGAUCCUCAAUAUCAUCUCGAUAUUAUAGCAUUACCGUAAUCUCUGCUGAGCUGAAGAACUUAGAAAACAACAAAGUGUUCUCCGCAAAAAGGAUCAACCAGAUUCUACUAGGAAGGAAAUGCUGCAUAAUACAUUCUACUUGUUUAUGAUGGUUCGCCAAUGAUAAAUGCCUACUUGAAGCUCAUUUUUAUCAUUUUUUUAGCACCAGAUAAUCUUGUGAAUGAGCGUGAAAAGCUGCCAUGUAUGAACAAGGGAAAUAUUGUCAGAUAUUUAUAUAAGCCAAUUAAGUAGUUAUCUUUACAUGUUAA